rnacentral:tRNA from 2 species
GCCCCCGUAGCUCAGCGGCAGAGCAGCGGACUUUUAAUCCGUCGCGCGUCGGUUCGAAUCCGACCGGGGGCA